AGUGAACGCUGGCGGUAGGCCUAACACAUGCAAGUCGAACGGCAGCUCAGUAAGAGCUUGCUCUUACGGGUGGCGAGUGGCGGACGGGUGAGGAAUACAUCGGAAUCUACUUUUUCGUGGGGGAUAACGUAGGGAAACUUACGCUAAUACCGCAUACGACCUACGGGUGAAAGCAGGGGAUCUUCGGACCUUGCGCGAUUGAAUGAGCCGAUGUCGGAUUAGCUAGUUGGCGGGGUAAAGGCCCACCAAGGCGACGAUCCGUAGCUGGUCUGAGAGGAUGAUCAGCCACACUGGAACUGAGACACGGUCCAGAAUCCUACGGGAGGCAGCAGUGGGGAAUAUUGGACAAUGGGCGCAAGCCUGAUCCAGCCAUACCGCGUGGGUGAAGAAGGCCUUCGGGUUGUAAAGCCCUUUUGUUGGGAAAGAAAAGCAGCAGGUUAAUACCCCGCUGUUCUGACGGUACCCAAAGAAUAAGCACCGGCUAACUUCGUG
rnacentral:rRNA from 1 species